AAUCCGGGCAUUUUCUUAUGGUUUGUGCUGAAUGACAUCAUUGAUAUUGUCAAUGGUGUAAUAACAGGCGAGCGAGAGGGGGAUAGCUGGAUUUCUGAGUUUACACCAAAAUAUCUGUAAUUCGCAGUGCAGACUAGACCAGACUAUACCGCGGGACGUUGACAUCUGGGUCAGGAAGGUGAGGAAUGGUUUGUAAAGCUCCGCAGUCGUCUUUCUCUGUCCAUGGUGCUGUUUGAAUGAUAAUGUCCAGAUCAGCACCUCGGUGGAAGGAAGGCAGCAGUUCCUGAAGAGCUUGAUCAAACGGGUGAGGAGGGGAGGAAUGGCACGGGUCCACUGCUAAAUCUGGGAAUUCUGAUUGGGGUUUGUACAGGGACCUAAACAGGCGAGUCAGAAUCAGAAGGUAGGUUAAUAGUUUUUCUCGACCGAGGUUUUCCCAAGCCAAGGGUGCGGCUUUGUGCAAAUUUUGACAAACAACCUGAAUGCUAAUGUUUCUAAUGUAGCCCGAAUUUUAUGAAUUAGACUUUUUGGAUAGGUUUCAUCUAGCUUCCCAGGUCUGGUUUACUCUGUUAGAUCUGCAGUAAAUUACGUUGUUGCCUCUGGCAUCUUGCUACGGAGCAGCGCUUCAACCUUGCAACAACAAUGGGGCUACAUUUUGUAAUAGGCUUGUAGGCUAGGCUACUUACCGUGGACUGACUUGUGCAUUCAUGAACAAGAGUUUGACCUUAAAUUAAGUUGGUUUUACAGUGUAAAAUGAUCAUGGUAAGAUUCUAAGGGAUUGCAUGUAGAUUCUACAGAUGUAGGAUCUUAAUUUGAUCACACUGUUGCAGGAAAUUCAGAACUUAUGGUAUAUUUAAGGUUUAAAAAGGCUUCUGAAGUUUGACAUUUCAGAAUUGAUUUCCCUUUACGAAAAACACACCAACCCCUACGAACAUGUCCGUUAAUUAUAAUACAAAUGAUAAUUCACAUGUACUCAUGCUGCAGGAUUAUUUUCCUGCUAUCGGCACAAAUUCAAAUCCAACGUUUGUGUCAUCUAUCAUUACCUUGCUUCAUCUUCUAUCGAUGUUAGGAUUUAUCUCAUCCACCACCAUUAUGUAUGACUGUGGAAUAGUAGAAUAGAAUACAAUGGAACUAUAUUAGUUAAUCUAUUGAUCUGUUUAGUGUUCAUCUGUGACAAAUCACAACCUUUACAAAUAAGACACCAGCGGGGCAUCUUGAGUGCCCGCUGGUCAGUGUGCCUUCGCUAUGUAUGCAUUUAAACACCACCACAGCCAUUUUCCAUAGUAAACUUCUCCCUGUAUUGUGAUGGAAGAAAAUGUAUUUCACUUAGUUUCUUUGGGGACUUUGAGAUUAUUAGGCUAUGCUAAUUGUUUGUGUAUAUACUGGUUUCCUUUGAGGUGAGAUGGCUUGUUCAUAGUGCUGAAUUAAUGAAGUCACAUUCACACUGAGUUUUCUCCUGCAUUUGCCCUCUCCCAACUCAUGAUCCUUCAAAUCCAUAGGUAAAUCACCCAACUCAUGAUCCUUCAAAUCCAUAGGUAAAUCACCCAACUCAUGAUCCUUCAAAUCCAUAGGUAAAUCACCCAACUCAUGAUCCUUCAAAUCCAUAGGUAAAUCACCCAACUCAUGAUCCUUCAAAUCCAUAGGUAAAUCACCCAACUCAUGAUCCUUCAAAUCCAUAGGUAAAUCUCCCAACUCAUGAUCCUUCAAAUCCAUAGGUAAAUCACCCAACUCAUGAUCCUUCAAAUCCAUAGGUAAAUCACCCAACUCAUGAUCCUUCAAAUCCACAGGUAAAUCACCCAACUCAUGAUCCUUCAAAUCCACAGGUAAAUCACCCAACUCAUGAUCCUUCAAAUCCACAGGUAAAUCACCCAACUCAUGAUCCUUCAAAUCCACAGUGAAUUGUGAAGACAAGCAGGAACCAUGGAGCUGAGAGUGGGAAACAAGUACCGCCUCGGCAGGAAGAUAGGAAGUGGCUCUUUUGGAGACAUUUACCUGGGUGUUAACAUUGCCACGGGUGAGGAGGUGGCCAUUAAGCUGGAAUGUGUGAAGACCAAACACCCACAACUCCACAUCGAGAGCAAAUUCUACAAGAUGAUGCAGGGAGGAGUGGGCAUCCCGUCCAUAAAGUGGUGUGGAGCAGAGGGAGACUACAACGUGAUGGUGAUGGAGCUGCUAGGCCCCAGUCUGGAGGACCUGUUCAACUUCUGCUCCCGCAAGUUCAGCCUCAAGACUGUCCUGCUGCUGGCUGACCAGAUGAUCAGCCGUAUUGAGUACAUCCACUCUAAGAACUUCAUCCACAGAGAUGUGAAGCCUGACAACUUCCUGAUGGGCCUGGGCAAGAAGGGCAACCUGGUAUACAUCAUCGACUUUGGCCUGGCCAAGAAGUACCGCGACGCCCGCACACAUCAGCACAUCCCCUACCGCGAGAACAAGAACCUGACCGGCACCGCGCGCUACGCAUCCAUCAACACACACCUGGGGAUAGAACAGUCUCGUCGUGAUGACCUGGAGUCUCUGGGUUAUGUCCUGAUGUACUUCAACCUGGGCUCUCUGCCCUGGCAGGGCCUCAAGGCCGCCACCAAGAGACAGAAGUACGAACGCAUCAGUGAGAAAAAGAUGUCCACCCCUAUCGAGGUGCUCUGCAAGGGAUACCCCUCUGAGUUCUCCACCUACCUGAACUUCUGUCGCUCUCUGCGGUUUGAUGACAAGCCAGACUACUCAUACUUGAGACAACUAUUCAGAAACUUGUUCCACAGACAGGGCUUCUCCUACGACUACGUCUUUGACUGGAACAUGCUUAAGUUUGGGGCCAGCAGGACAGCCGAGGAUGGGGAGCGGGAGAGGAGAGAGGCGGAUGAGAGGAUCGGGGGAGGACCUAGGGCACCCCGUGCCCUACCCCCGGGCGUCAACCCCCCUGGGGGAGUAGACAGGAUCCGAAAUGGCCCCAAUGCAGCAGCUUCUAACCCUGCCUCCAGAGGAGUCCCACAGUCAGGGAACCGGUCACCGCAGGCUGUGUCCCGUGCAGAGCGAGAGAGGAAGGUGGCCAUGAGGCUCCACCGCGGCGCCCCUGCUAACAUCUCCUCCUCUGAUCUCACCGCACAGAUGGGCCAAUCACGCAUCGCCACAUCACAGGUCAGCGUGCCAUUUGAACACCUGGGGAAGUGAGCUGCUCCUCAGGCCCUCUGGACACUGGCAGCCAUGGUAGCAGGGUAUCAAAUACCUACUCAAUUACUUUUGAAAUUGUUGGAUUAAAAAACAUGAGUGGGUCAACGACAAUGAAGACGGAUUAAAGAAUGAAGACAGAGGAGAAUAAAAGGAGAGGAAGUUGCAAUGGAUGUGAGACGGGAACGCCUGUCCAAUAUGACUGUAGUUAACUGGGAGAAAAUAUGAAAAGAUGAAGGAUUGAGAAGUGAAAGACACGCUCUUGGCCUAGCCUUGCUUCCCAGGCUUGUGAGACCUUCGCCUCGGCUGGUGAAUGAGUCCUGGUUCACUCUCAUUAUGCUGGCUAUGUGAUCCGUGGGACCAUACACGUCUGUCAGAAGCUCAAUGCCCCAAAAAAGAUGUCAGUACAACAUGGACAAAUUCUGAUUAUUCUAGCUGUUUUCAUUGCUGAGGUGGUGUUGUAAGGGCAAAUGUGUUGGUUAAAAACACACAGUCGAAACCGUUUGUCUCACAUUGAAUGUCCAAUUUAUGACAGCUACAUUUCGAGCUAAGGUGUGUGUUUAUAAUAAUAUCUGGGAAUAUUACAGAGGGUCAAGUAGUCGGCAAGAAGAUCUGUCAAGAGGAAUUUGGGGGAAAUGGAAGAUAUGCAGAGAGAGCAAGCCAAGGACCGACCGCAAGUCAGAGGAGGAAGGGGAUGGUAGGAGACUUAGAGAGAUGGACUGUCACCCAUUUUCUCUUAACGUCUUCGCUGUUUAGGAAUAAUUCUGAGUAGAUUUUAACCAAGUGUUAAACAAGGACAUUUUGGUUCUACAACACUUCCUAUUAACAUUAUUGACACAUUUACAUUGAGGUUUCACUCCUCUUUGCUGUGUGUGUGUGUGUGUGUGUGUGUGUGUGUGUGUGUGUGUGUGUGUGUGCUCACAGUAUUCUAUUUACAUUAGUCAACAGCAGAGAGCUAAUAAUAUUCCUUCAAAUGAUGGUGGACAAUGUAAUACAGGACCUUAUCAUUAAGAGGUGGAGGCUUUGCAAGAAUAUUGUUGAGUAUUGGUCUUGGUUAUUAUGAUAAUAAGUCAACAAGCCGUAUUACUCUGAAGAUGUGAGAAGGAGCAUGGGAGAAAUGAAGAGGUUGGAUUUCAAAGUUAUAUGCUCAAUUGCUGUUAUUUAUUUGAUUUUUUUUAUCUCUGUAAAUAUGUUUUUGUGUAAAGCCAGAAUGUGCUAGGUUGUUUUAAGAUGCCAAUGUAGUAAUAGAGAUUUAUUGACCUGCUGGAGGGUUUGGUUGGGUGGAGGGAGUCAGAUGAAAGGUAGGCCUAUGCCUGCAUGGGCCAGGGCAGAUCAUAAUAAAGAUGGAAUGUGGUUGUGUGGGUUCUUUACCAUGCUUAGUCUUUAUUACAACAAUAUUAUGUAUAAUUAUUAUUAUUUUGUGUCCCUUUUUGUAAAGUUGCCUUGUUGCAUCUCAAACUCAACAGCACAGCAUCACCACAUAUAGUGCAUAAAUACAUAGAUAUAACGAUGUAAAUCACGUGCUAUAAUACACGAAUCAACACUUGCGGACACAGUUCAUGGGAUAGGCCUAAACUAUAGUUCAUACCGUUUAUAUUAAUGGAGGGGGGGUUAUAUUUUGAGUCAAUAAAGAUAUGCACAACUUAUAAUACUGUCUG